GCAAAGUAAUUCAACGUGUCUCUGAGGUGACUGUAAUGGUAAAACUUGUGAUAGAGCAGAAAUAAGAAUUGGACUAAAAUGCAUGCAUGUCUCUGUAUGUUCUGGAGCAUAGUGUUAAAUCUUGAAAAUGGGAAGAAAGCAGAGUCACUGUGCUGUACUUCCCUAUCUCUGUGGUGGGUGGUGGUUUGUGUAAGAUAUGAGAUAGCAGCCCUGUGUGUUACACCCUCUGCACACUUCCUGAGUAACCCAACAAGAACACGGAUAUCAGAAGAAGAUGGCCACUGGAUAUACUGGGCACCCGAGCAUAUUCCAAGGAUUCAGUUUGGAGGAAGUGGACCUAUCAGGACGCAAAAUGAAGUCCCUUCCUCUGGAUCCUCUGACACAUGCUACAAAACUGGACAUGCAGAGGAACAAACUGAAGAGGGUCACUGGCAUCUCUAGAUUCGCCCACCUGGUGGAGCUUAAUCUCUCCAGGAACAAGAUCAUGGAGUUUUCUCUGGAGAUAAGCAAACUGCACUCACUAGAGACACUCUACAUGAACCAGAACAACAUCAGAUCCAUUCCAGAGGGAAUCUUCCCACAUCUUAUGAAGUUAAAGCUCCUAAAUCUCAGUGGCAAUCGCUUGACCAAGCUUCCAUCAGAUAUAAACCAGUGCGCCAGUAUCACUUACCUGGACCUCUCCAAGAAUUGCCUGCAAAACAUCCAACCACUGGUUGGUCUCGCAAAACUGAAGGAGCUUUUCGUUGGGAGGAACCAACUGACCGAGCUCCCGUCUGAGCUCUUCAAGAGCAGCAGCUGUGAGCUCACUGUGUGCAAGGCCACAGGGAACCCGCUGAGGUGCCCGCCGGAGGAGGUCUGUGCCGGAGGGGUCGUGGACAUCCAGAGCUACUUCCUUCAAAUGGAGGAGAACCCGAACACACGCAGCGCCUGGACAGUCAAGACCAUGUUCCUGGGCUCCUCCAUGGCAGGGAAGUCCACGCUCUGCCGAAGUCUGAGGGAAGGCAAGCCCGUGACUGUGGCGGUGGAGGACCGGACUGUGGGAAUCGAGAUCAGCCAACUCUACACCCAGGAAGUCCGUUUCCUUUUAUGGGACUUCGCAGGGCAGGAGGAGUACUACCUGACACACCACGUCUUCAUCACCCCGAGAGCCCUGGUCAUCCUCACUGUCGACCUGGCCAGAUACAGCACUGUAGAUCCAGAUUCUUUCAAAGACCAACUGUGGUUCUGGAUAAAAAACAUACAGCUGCGUGUGCCGGACUCAGUAGUCUUGCUGGUGGGAACACACUGCGACCAGUGCAGAGACCAGGAGGAGGUGAUGGAGAAGAAGAACGACAUAGAGGAGAAGGUCAAAGCCAUGUUGGCCAACAGGAGGAUGGUUUUACAACACCAGAAGGAAAAUCUGGAGGAAAACAAAGACAUCUUUAUGUUCGUGGACCAGCUGGAUGAGCUGGACUGUCUUCUGGAAUACAAUUUGAAGGUCCUAGAUGUUGUAACCAUUGACAGCACGAGCACCGAAGAUGUUGCGAAACUCAGGAGUCAUAUUUUGAUGAGCAUUCAAUCAGAGAAUGUGGUUCUGUGUUCUGAGAGCAUCUUACCAAGAAGUUACGAAGCAGUGGAGCAAGCCAUUCAUACACUCGUCGCACAGGAGGAAAUUCCAAGGCAUGGUAUUAUUCUACUCGAAGAACUCAGUGAUUUAAUCCUAAACCACGUUAAAAUGAGCAGAGAGAGUCUCCACUCCAUCUUGCGAUUCCUCUUGCGAUAUCUGCAUCGGAUCGGGGUGAUCCUUUGGUACGAAGACAUCAGUAUACUGAGUGACAGAGUGUUUAUCCAGCCUUCAUUCCUCAUCUCAAUGUUUAAGACCAUUGUGAGACAUGACCUGGUGCAGCAGCUGGAGGGGGUCUCCAGAGACCUCCUCAUGCGGGAGGGGUCUCUGGUGAAACAGAAGUUCACCUGGCUGGACGACUUGAGGAGCAGAGGCAUCCUGCACAACGCGGCAAUGCGCAUCUUGGUCCGCAGAGAGUUAGAGAAGCUGAUCGUGGACGACGAUGAUUUGGUCGAAGAGGUGGUGGGAACCAAAAAGGAGGAGGGCAUAAUACUCACCCUGCUGCAGUAUUUUGAGGUCUGCCUCCCGACUCUUGCCGGAAGCCCUUUGAACCCUCAAGCACCGGAGUUCGUCCCUGGUGCGAAAAGCUGGGCGCUGGCCAGGAAGACGAGGAGAGAUCCAGAUGGAGCCUGUCUCUUCCCCAUCUUCCUGAAGGACGACCUCACUGUGUGCCACAAGUGGGGCGAGGACAAGCAGGAUGACCUCCGCGUCCAUGUGUACUUCCUUCCUGAGAUUCCUCACGGCUUCUUCCACAGGGUGAUCAUCACGACCUGCUCCCUGUACCCGACUCACUGGGUGGGGAGAGAGCAGUGUCUCCUCUGCUGUGGAAACACGCUGGCUCUGGUGAGACAGAAGAGCAAAGAUGGAGACACGUUCAUAGAGAUACGCUGCAGGAGACCUGAGAAGGAGUUUAGGAAGCUGUGGGACCUGAUCUUAGCGGUGAUGUCCAAGCUGUUUGUGCUGUCCAGACAGUGGCCAGGACUGACUGAGCAGGUGCACACACCCUGUCCGGAGAGAGGCUGUUCACACUAUUUCACCUGGAGGGACUGGCAGGAGCUCGACAGCACGGACCUCUACAACCUGCAAGUGUUAAAGUCAUCAGGGGUUGUGCCUUUUUAUGUAGCUGUCUUAAAAAAAAGAAACUCAUGGUUAGGGGGUUCAUUCUUCUGCCCUUCACUUCCUCUCCCUGGCAUUCGGGCAUGCAGUGCCAGAUUUUGACCACUGUUUUGAAGGAAAUUCCAGAAUUCCUCUUAAGCUUGUCCGGCCUUAUGCAUCUAUCAUAUACAAAAGUACAAGGGCUGUACAGUUCAUUGGAAUAGGAACAAAACUGCAUUAAGUCCAGUUGUGUCCAAAUUGCAGGAGCUGCAAUCGUGGUGCUACAGAGAUCCACAGAUUGAUUAGCAUCUCAAGCAAACACCAGGCGACCCUUCCUUUAAUACCUUGUCUUUCCCCCCCCUUUCUUUUCAGUGUGAAGGAGGAGAAAUUAGUUUGCCAGGGAGGCCAUACACGACGGACUGAGCUGAUUUUUCCACAGGAUAAAUAAAUGUCUGCGUCAGAGCUCUGGUGUUCUGGGAGUGAAGCUUUAUGAAAGUAUGGAAGAAAGAGGACAAAUAAAUAUUAGGUAAAGAGAAGAAAGAUGUAAGGGCAUGAAACGGAAGAAAAAAGAGAACUGCAGAAGAAGGACCUCGGUGAUAUUUGCUGACCACUGCUCGCAGACUUCCUGUAUUUCACACCAUGAAAUAUGAGUGUCCUUCUGUGCACAGUAUCGUCCUCUGCUGGUUUCUCUCUGACAUUACUCCUCAAUGGUUUCAGGUCUUGUCAGGUAACAUGCAACUAAUGGAACUGAUUUGCUUGUUUGUUUUCUGGUGUCACAGCAUAACGGCAAAUCUAACUGCUUGCAUCUUUCAUCAUAAUAGAUUCUCCGUCUGGAAUAAAAACCUGCCUUUGUGGAUCAAUAAAGACAAUAAACCUGUUAUAUGCAGACCGGUCACACAAACUUGUUGAAUAUAUUGGGUCAGUUAUUUCAAGUGAGUCCGGUCUGAUGCUCACCACUGACAAUACACGUAGCUGGUAUCCACCUCA